GGGCGAGUAGCUCAGUUGGUCAGAGCGCACGGUUCACAUCCGUGAGGUCAGGGGUUCGAGACCCUUCUCGCCCACCA
rnacentral:tRNA from 1 species